ACCAGUAGCCUGCUCCACAGCGCCAUCUGCAGGAACCCUCUGACUCGCCGCAGCAGAGCCAUUAGGAAAGGCUGGAAGCCUCAUUGUGCCGUCUCAGCUCUGCCAGAAGGGUUGCCAGGAGUUCUGGAGAAGGUCACUAACUCUUCCAGGAUUCCCAUGCCCGGACUUAGCUCAAGGAGCAGCCGAGUCCCCUGGCUUGGAAUCAGAGCCGGGGCUUUUGUACCUGGGAUCCUGCAUAUUUCUGGGUUGAGCAACAAUGCGUCCAAUAUUGAAGAAGAGACCUGGAGAAGUUGGCUGUCAGUUCCCAGGAAAGUUCUCGGCAAAGAGCUGCAAUUUGAAAAGUGGAGGACACAGACAGACGAGAAGAGAUGUGAGGCAGGUGGGCCUGAAGACCCAAGUCCUCAGCAAGCCUCCUCCCGACCUGUCUAAAGCUUCAAAGAGUAAUGCUGGCCAUCUUUCCCCGGCACAUAGUCAGGGUCUGGCAGAAACCCUGGUCAAAUACACUGGAAAGCAAAAGAGAGGAGCCAGGCUAGGGGAGCCCCAGAAAGCCGAGGAGAAAAGGUGCAGUCGGGUGACGUUCAGCUUGACACCCUCAGACUUUGGUGAGGACAUCUAUGAAACUAGCCGCCAUCCUGUCUUCAAUCCUGAGCUGGUCAUUGCCCACUGCUUCAGGCAGUUGAAAGAGAAAGACUUCCACCUGCCACAGAGCCGCAGGCGGAUCAUCAUUGUUCCUGGGACCAAGGACCAGGUGCCAGCCCAUGCCACAAGGCCUCCUCAAGCUCCCCCUCCACCUAUACCUAGCUUCAAAGCUCUGGAUAUUGAAGACAUCCAAGAGCCACCUGUGGACAGAAAGGUCUGGUUGAGCCAGAGGGCAAGGCUCCGGAGGCAGCUGGAGUCGUUUGGCGAUGUCAAGACAUGGCUGGAGAAUAAGCCCAGCAUCACACCGUCAGAGGCCAAGGUUCUGCUCAUGAUCCGCCAUGAGCAAAAAGCCUCCAAAGAUACCUUCAUUUCAAUCAGGAGACCCAAGGGCAAAGUUCCCAAACCUGUUCAUCAGCCUAUACCCCAGCUGCGACUGCCCAAGCCCUCUAUCCUGGCGGACUUGUACGCCUACCUGAGGACCCGAAAGAUCAAGAUCCUGGAGGUAUUUAGCAAGGUGGAGCGGGGUGAGAACCAGCGCAUCUCCAGGGAGGAAUUUAUCAUGGCUCUAAAGGCAAUUGGAGUUCCUCUGAAGAACCAGGAGCUGGAGGACAUCGUCAUCUACCUCGGCACUCUCGGGAAGCAGAACGCCAUCACCAUCGAUGCCUUGGCCAGCACCUACAAGCAGUGGUCACUGUCCCAGCAGAAAAGUACCAUGCCCACUGCCAGGGAGUAUUUCAGUCUGACUAGGAAGAGAGCAUCCCUGAAGCGUUACCCCCCAAAGCGGCAGGCUGUCACAACCCCACAGCCCCCCAAGAUGGACCUGCUAAAGGUACCUGAGGUUGAUACAAAGAUGGAGAGGCGGCCCAUGACAGACGAGGACAUGGAGGAUGUGGGCAAGCGGUACCGAGAGAGGCGGAGGCAAAACAAGCUUUGUCUCCCCUCUAUCCAAUACGUGGAGAGAUGCCGCCUGGUUCGUUCUGGGACAAAGUCCUUUGAUGAUCACUGCCUACCGUCCACCAUUUCUGGGGAGAUGGAGGAGCUGAUUAAUAUGACCCGCACGGAUAACUUCCUGGUCUACCUGCAGUGCUGGGAACUCUCGCUCCUGUAUCCAGGAGACAAGAUAAUUACUCUGAAAGAAGAAGUCCGCCCGAUCCGGCAGCCUGGGGGCUACUAUAUAGACGAGAGGAUUGUCCACAGCCUGGCUGGAUUUGGGACCCGGGGCCUCCACAAGCUCGGGGCGAAGAAGACAGACAAGCUGAGUCUCAGGCUGACCCUUCAGCUGCAGGGACUAGGACACGGGCACGCAUGUGGUGUCAUGUAGUGCCAGCGUCUGUGCCCCUCUCUAGUCACUUCUGACUCGCCAGUCCCAAAUGUCACCCUUAGUGCAUGUCUUAGGACUGCAGGCUACCCUCCUGACCACAGGCUUAUUACACUCAUAAGGUCAGUGGAAAAGACCGAAAGAGGGUGUUCAGCCUACCCGGUGGCAGAAGCUGAAACUAAUUCCUUCCCUGCGCUGCCACCCUGUGGCAGGCACACUCCAACAAGAGAUAGGCUUCCCCUGGGGGGGGGGGGGGGGAAGAAAGGCCGUCCUGACCCUUAGACUAGCCUGAGUUCUCUGAAAUUAACUUCCUUUGAAGUGAGCCCAAGUCAGGUCCCCCUACACUCCCAUCAGAGGUGGACUAAGCAGGGGGCAACUACUGUGGCUAACAAGAGUCGUGCCUGCAGAGGGGAGAACGAGACAGCACCCUGCAGAGGGAUGGGGUGGUGUGGCAGAAUGCCUGGGCAGGCUCCAGUGCUUCUAGUCAAUGGCCAGGCUACUGCACCCUGAGCCCUAGCGUCUCCAUGUACAAAGUGGAUGAAGACUAUCUCACACCACGAGGAUCAGACAAGGACCACAGGGUGGCUGAUGAGUCACGCUGCACUUCUAGUGGUUUUCUGAGUACUGGGGCAGUCUGCCCACGACAGUUGUGGCCUGCAAGGUGCUGAGCGUGACCCAGGCUGGCAGUAGCUUAGAGAGCCUCUGAGGUGUCCCUUCUAGCCUGUGGCUGACUGUCACCAAUUCCUAAGCCUUGAACCCAGGAAGUGGGUGGCUAUCCAGGAAAGAGAUUUUUGGUUGUGUUUGGCCAGCCACAGGUAUAAAAGAGAAAGAGUGGUCCCUCGCUAAAGGGACAUUGGCUCUGUCUCACCACUAGGGGGCAGACUGUAAAAGAUCCUGAGGCCAGGCACUCGGGGUAGAGAGUAUACAAGGCACAGAGUUCAAUCCUUUGCAUUGGAAGAAAAAAAAAAAAAAAAAAAAACCAGAGAUUCUGAGCCAUAUGUGGGCUUGGGAAGGAAUCGGUGAUCAGUUAGUAAUGCAUGCUGGGUAAGGCAUGGCGGGUGAGUCUUUACCACGCUUGUCUCACUAAGCUUGGCCUCUGGAAGGGGGAGCGGGAGUUGGGCUUUAGCGUCUACCAGUUGCUGAACAUAUCAGCUAUUUCGGAGGCCUCCCUCCCACAGAUGAAGAAGUCAAGGUUUUCCACCCUCCACCAACCUGGCUAAGCCCAAUGCCUUGGUAUAUGGAGACAUGGCUAGGGCCUUACCAGAAAACAAAGAAGUUCAGCGCUCCGGUCUGAGACUUAGAAACGCACGCCUUAUUGGCCCCCACCUGCUCCCCAAAGCUGACUAUUCCUGGAGUUUCUUUUUUUUGUUUUUUGUUUCAAGACAGGGUUUCUCUGUGUAGCUCUGACUGUCCUGGAACUCACUCUGUAGACCAGGCUGGCCUCGAACUCAGAGAUCCGUCUGCCUCUUCUUCCCAAGUGCUGGGAUUAAAGGUGUCUGUGCCACCACGGCCCAGCUCCUGGAGUUUCUCUCUCCUAAUAAUGCCUCUCUCUAUUCCCCGCUAGGAAAACAUCAGAGAAACUCAAGGAAAUGCACUUCAAGGAGUUCGAGGAAUUUACGGGGAAGCUGAAGGCCAAGAGGAUCAGUGGUCCCUCAUACACCCACCCCAAUUACUUCUGGCCUGGUCACCUUGUGGACAAGCUGCGGCUCUACC